rnacentral:rRNA from 1 species
CAGCAGCAGCCACGGUAAUACAGAGGGUGCAAGCGUUAAUCGGAUUUACUGGGCGUAAAGGGCGCGUAGGUGGUUAUUUAAGUGAGAUGUGAAAGCCCCGGGCUUAACCUGGGAACUGCAUCUUAUACUGGGUAACUGGAGUGCAGUAGAGGGUAGUGGAAUUUCCGGUGUAGCGGUGAAAUGCGUAGAUAUCGGAAGGAACACCAGUGGCGAAGGCGGCUACCUGGACUGAGACUGACACUGAGGCGCGAGAGCGUGGGGAGCAAACAGGAUUAGAUACCCCUGUAGUCCCUGUCUCUUAUAC